AUGCAUCUCUGACAGCCCUGGAGCAGUUAAUGUUUGCUACUAAAGUGGUUUCCACUAUAGAUGCAAGAAAAAAAAGUCCUCAUGCUUUCUGUCUGUCUGGUUGUGGCAGACAAGAUUGAAUGGGGGAAUACAGGA
rnacentral:snoRNA from 1 species